rnacentral:rRNA from 1 species
UGGGGAAUUUUGGACAAUGGGGGAAACCCUGAUCCAGCCAUCCCGCGUGUGCGAUGAAGGCCUUCGGGUUGUAAAGCACUUUUGGCAGGAAAGAAACGUCAUGGGUUAAUACCCCGUGAAACUGACGGUACCUGCAGAAUAAGCACCGGCUAACUACGUGCCAGCAGCCGCGGUAAUACGUAGGGUGCAAGCGUUAAUCGGAAUUACUGGGCGUAAAGCGUGCGCAGGCAGUUCGGAAAGAAAGAUGUGAAAUCCCAGAGCUCAACUUUGGAACUGCAUUUUUAACUACCGGGCUAGAGUGUGUCGGAGGGAGGUGGAAUUCCGCGUGUAGCAGUGAAAUGCGUAGAUAUGCGGAGGAACACCGAUGGCGAAGGCAGCCUCCUGGGAUAACACUGACGCUCAUGCACGAAAGCGUGGGGAGCAAACAGG